UGUAAAUGUAAAUGCACGCUGCCGUAUCCCCGAGCUUCCUCUUUGAACAGCAACGCGUGCGGCUCCCGGCAGCGCCGGGUUUGGGGCUUUGGCUUUUUUGACGUUGGUGAUUCUGAAACCCAAUUUCUGGCUUUAUAAAAAUGCAUCACUACAGCAACAAAAAAAUUAAUUGCUUUGCAACAACGUGAUUAAAGCCGCGCCGAGGAACCGAGAAUAUAUCCAUGAGAAGCACACUGCAUAGCGUUCAAAUAAAAACGUUGUACUCUGAGAGCGUUUAACACCAGCUUGAAACUUUGCUAUGGUCCAAAUUCAGUCAAACCGAAUACACCGAACCGUUUCCUAAAGGAUUUGUUGUAUUUUUUGUGGCUUUUCUGAUCAGUUCUUUCUAUAAAGAGAGUGUAAAUGAAAGGAAAGAAACUCCACGACUCCCAGCUUAUGGUGCUGCGUAAUAUUUGAUGGGGAAAUUUAGAUAACCUCUGGAUAGUUCUGUAAAACAGUCGUUUAAGGGAGAGCUUUGAAAUGCAAAAUAGGAAAAAGCAAUGCAUUACCACUAAAUAAAUACUGCAGCCGCUAAGCCCGUAACAGCUACGGAAUCAGAACGUAAAAUCUUGUAGCAUAUGUGUUCUUAUGAUUGUAGUAUUUAAUAAGCGCUGACACGACACAGAAGGCCAAUUUUCUGUUUGAAAAAAGAAGCCUGUCCUUCUUAUAGUGAUAUAUAAGAGAUUAAAAUAAUUAGAGAGGAAUAUAAUUCAGGGGGUAAGACUGAAUAAUUUCAUUGUUAAUCUCAACACGAGGAGAAAAGCCAAUUCUCUUAAAAGAAACCUACAGGGUCUAACAGCUAGGCGAGUUUGGGUAUGACAAACAUACAACAGGGUGAUACGUACCCACAUUUUUUUAGCUGUUUUUUGAGUAGAAUGAAUGCACGAGUGAAUGAAAAUUACCCUUCCCACGUGUGAAGCGUUUCAAAAGUUUAAGGGAUCCCUCACGGAAAUGUUACCAUGCAGCACUGCGUGGCACGUCAGCUUCAUUAGCAAAAAUAAAGAGGUAUUCACCUUAAAUUUUUACUAGCCAUUAAUCACUUCCAACAACAAUGCUGGGAUCUGCAUACUCGCUUUAAAUUUCACUGCUUUUUCUCUACAAAGUAUACAAUCAUUGUAACUUCGGUGAAUAAAACAAAGCAUUGAACAAGCAGAAGUCUUUCCUUUACAGAGGCACGUUAUUGGGUGGAUGGAAGCAUCACAGGAGUCCUCCACGAAUAACAGAAAAAGCAGAGUUUUACAUAAAAUGGGUGCUGUAUUAGAAAGCAUCGACUGACAUCGGAGCUGGAACUGCCGAGUGGGAAAACUCACUUUACAGCUGAUUCUUUACAGCAAAUUUCUCGUCGCCAUUUUUAGUCCAUUUUCAACUUGCGACUCUGUUGGGAAAGCUUUGAUCUUUACCUCUGUACAAAAGGACACACACUACAGUGAGCGGAUGCAACCGAGACCAGGAAAAUUGCAGUAACUCGGAGGUUCUCAAUACAUACAAUAAUACUUCCCCCAUUUAUCUCUUUAAAAUAGAUUGAUGCUCGUCUGCCUUUUGUUUCUGCGGGUUUAAAUCAUUAACGGUCUUCGUGGAAAUACAUCCUAAUCGUGGCUACUCGCUUCAUUUCUGGGAAGGCAGCAGCAAAAUGGUCACUCUACACAAAGCAGAAUGCGACUCCCGCGUGCUGACCUUUGCACGUAGCGUGUUCUAAAUGGCAGCCCGCCUUGGACCCAACAAAUUAUUUCUGCCCGUGUUCAGUUAGGAUGGAUACGGCGUGUCCACAACCCACGGUGAAGCACUAACGCAUCUUUACGUGCUUACUCCUAAAUUAUACCAAGAAAGUAAAGUUUUCUUUUCCCUUCUAUUCUUUAAUAUAAUGGUCACAUCUGUGUUUAACACCUACCCAAAUGCAAGUUGCUGAAUGAUUAGAACCUUCUAACGCUUCAGAUGUGGUGAGUUCGUGCCGGGCAGCUUGCACGUUGCACAUGUAACACGGGUACAGGUAGCAGCACCAGGGGUCACGCUGGCGCAUCUCCUGGACACCGCGCCCCUCCACACCUCGUGCUAUUUUCCUUCGUGUGAAUGGAAUGCCUAAUUUUGUAAUUCCUCAGAGUGGAAAGGAAGGGGGGGGAGAAUUCCACCAACUCUUGUAUUCAUUUUAUUGGUUUUAAUUGCAUUAUCACCUUUGGAGACUUUGGUAAAUUCCACUUAGCUAGCAGCCAUGGGUAGCGGUGGUGGUUUUCAAGUACAGCUCCUGUUACUCAUGUUGGCAUUUAAAUGUUAAUUUCCAACCGAGGUUUACAGUAAACACCAAACAAGGGAUUUUCUUUGAAUGAACCAUCUCAGACCAAAAUUCUAAAGGAAAGGAUCCUACCCGGGAUAUUUUUAAGCGUGGUGAUUAUUUCCUUGUGAAAGACUUAACAUUCCCUAAGUGAUAGAAGCUAAAAGAUUUACAUGUGACAGUUAAUUUAUAAUUCUCUACAUUAAAAAGACAUUUAAACGUUAACCACAUUUUUAUGUGAGUCAAGUCAAAGCAAUGAUAAUUACAGUAUGAUACAAAAGAACCUGAAAUAAACUUCCAGCAAACCAUAUUGAAUAUUAACGUCGUGUUAAGCCCCGAAAAGCUGCGUUAGUAAACUCUGGAAUUUAGAUUAUAUGCAACUUCAACAUAACAUCGGGCUUUUCUUUAAAGCACACGUCACUGCAAAGGUUGGAUCUGGGGGAGGUACGUAUUAAUUGGCUGGAUUUUUAUUAAAUACAUUUACAUAGCAUCAUGCCAAAACCAAGCCUCGGAUUACUCUUUCUGCACAGGCAUACCUCAGCGUGGGAUUUGCCAAAUUAACAUUCCAUAUAAAUUAACAGCCUUUUCUCAUGUUUGUGGUGUUACGAUGAGCAGCGUGAUACUGUAUCGUGUCGCUGCUCACGUGUAUUUGAUUUCAAUUUAGGAAUCGUAUCUCUGCUACCCACCACAUAGGAGAAACGACGUGCUGAAUUUCCCAUCAAAUAUCUUAAAUACAGACCUAUUUUAGGUGGAUUUGUAUAAACAAAACACAUAUCUCAUAUGGGCGUGGGAAAGGAAAAGCUGGUUUGGUAUAUGCUAGAGCAAACUGGAGUAAAUCAACCGCAUCCAUGGGCUGUAUCAGCAGUACCGCUCUGCUUUUCCCAGUACCAUUUGGACACAACAAUGUUACUUUUUUAUUUAAAGUGUUUUCUUCUCAACAAGGGGCCACCACUUCCCAAUCGCAAAAACACGCCCCAGAAUAUGUUAAUUAAUUGUAUUGUGCCUCUGAAAGAAAAGAGGUUGCCAAAUGCAAUAAAAAAAAAAAAGAGAGAGAGAGAGAGAGAGAGAGGUCUUUCGAUCAGAGGGCUCCGUUCCCACUGGUUACCAUCUAAUUUCAAUUCCCCACAUACGGACGUGGAAGAAAUAUAUCUGUGUAGAUUGUGACCGUGAGGAACUGCCUGAGAGCCAAAGGCCGGCGCGGCCACGCUGGGAUCUGGGCAGCCUCACGUUGCUGGAGGACGGAGGGCGCGAGCCUCGGCCCGCGGUUUGUCACCCUUACGUGGGCACUGCAGAGUGGGAACGUGGGGCAUUUUCAUCCCGUGUUGCUUCCCAUUACGUGUAACAACGGGGCUGCUUCCCACCCCCCCCCCAAAAAAAGAAGAAAAUUCCUACGUGCAAUACAUCAACACGUUCCACACAAACACAAAAUAAAGAGCAACAAAGAAGGGCAACGUGCAGUCUCUCCCUCUAUUUUUUUUUUCCAUCUUCCCUUUCCAUCAGACGGCUUUUAAAUAGCGAUAUAUUCUGUUAGCAAAUACGAGAGCAUUAAAUGUCUUUCUGAAUGACGCUUUCUAAAUUUGCAGUUACCUUUUGAAAAUCGCCGAACGGCAAUUAACAGUAAACGCAUCUCCGGAACGCUCAGCGGGAGAGGUAAAACGGAACAAAUAAAAGCUUUUUUUUUUUUUCCUUCCCCUCGAUUUUAAAGUUAUUGCUUUUAGAUGCUACCGUGGUGGGGUUUUCCUAUUAAAUAUUUCCAGCCUCCUCAACUUCCCAGUAACAGAAAUGCGUUUUCCCACCCGAACUACAGCGGGCUUUGAUUUGGAGGAGUCCCACAAAGGAACGGAGCUCACAAAGAGCGAAAGAGGAGUCCGGAGCUGUUAUCUCACACAAUGCCCGCGAGCAGGCAACUUCCCGGGGGGCGGGGGAGUCACUGCUGAAUUAUUUUCAACGGUGAUAUCCAUUAAUAUCAUCCUUUAACUUCUUUGACUCCCGAGCUGGCAAAAUUUGGUGGUGAUACGUUAAAAAAAAUAAGAAAGCUUGACACCGACUCGAAUCCUUCCAAAUGCAUUUCCACUAACUUGCUAAAAACGAUCACCGUUCUCCUAGGAAGGGCUUCCUUACCCAAAUCGCACUCUCUGGAAGCCAUUCCCCCCUCGCUAACAGAAGCCCUUUCCGUGUCGAUGCGAGCCAACGUGCGGGGGCACAUUUCCCCCGCAGCAGAGCGGGGCACUUGUUGGAAACCGCCCCAGCAUCGGGUCGGGCAGCUCUGCUCCACGCGAACACGUGAGAAAGUUCUGGUCGGAACGGCGUAGCAAAACUACUGAAUUCCUAAUUAUUUUUAGGGGGAGAAGAGAAAAGAAAAAAAAAAAAAGAAAGACAAACGCUUUUCCUAGAAAACAUUUUUUUGUCGCUGUUGUUUUUAAAGCCAACGUACAACAAUCGCUCGAAAAACGAAAAGAGCGAAAAAAAACCAGACUCGUGGUGCUUAUAUGGAACGGGACAAGAUUAAUCUCCAUUUUUAUAAACAGACCAUUACGACGAGUUCCUUCCAAACUUCUCUGGCUACGUUUACGAUUUCAAACGCUGCGGCUCGGAGCGGUUCCUCUCCGUCCCUGCGAGCAGAGCUGCCCACCAUCCGCCCACACACAGAUGUUAUUUACGCACGAGCCCGCCGCCGGAGCGGGGUUUUACCUUUGCAGUAACACUGAGGUACGGCCCCACAGGAGCACGGCGCUCCCGCACCGGAGCUGCCGCGCUGCCGGCCCGAGCUCCGCGGCCGCGCGGCGGGAGCUGCUCCGCUCUCCU
ensembl:lncRNA